rnacentral:rRNA from 1 species
UAAGUACCCCGAGGAAAAGAAAUCAACCGAGAUUCCCCCAGUAGCGGCGAGCGAACGGGGAGGAGCCCAGAGCCUGAAUCAGCAUGUGUGUUAGUGGAAGCGUCUGGAAAGGCGCGCGAUACAGGGUGACAGCCCCGUACAUAAAAGCGCACGUGCUGUGAGCUCGAUGAGUAGGGCGGGACACGUGGUAUCCUGUCUGAAUAUGGGGGGACCAUCCUCCAAGGCUAAAUACUCCUGACUGACCGAUAGUGAACCAGUACCGUGAGGGAAAGGCGAAAAGAACCCCGGCGAGGGGAGUGAAACAGAACCUGAAACCGUGUACGUACAAGCAGUGGGAGCCCCACCACUAAGCCAGUGGUGAGAACCCAUGACGCAUCCUUUGCUGAGGAUACGGUUAACGGAGCGAAAGCGACGUUCAACCGCAAAAGAAGCAGAGGGGGCUUAGUGGUGGGGUGACUGCGUACCUUUUGUAUAAUGGGUCAGCGACUUAUAUUCUGUAGCAAGGUUAACCGAAUAGGGGAGCCGGAGGGAAACCGAGUCUUAAUUGGGCGUUAAGUUGCAGGGUAUAGACCCGAAACCCGGUGAUCUAGCCAUGGGCAGGUUGAAGGUUGGGUAACACUAACUGGAGGACCGAACCGACUAAUGUUGAAAAAUUAGCGGAUGACCUGUGGCUGGGGGUGAAAGGCCAAUCAAACCGGGAGAUAGCUGGUUCUCCCCGAAAGCUAUUUAGGUAGCGCCUCGUGAAUUCAUCUCCGGGGGUAGAGCACUGUUUCGGCUAGGGGGCCAUCCCGGCUUACCAACCCGAUGCAAACUGCGAAUACCGGAGAAUGUUAUCACGGGAGACACACGGCGGGUGCUAACGUCCGUCGUGAAGAGGGAAACAACCCAGACCGCCAGCUAAGGUCCCAAAGUCAUGGUUAAGUGGGAAACGAUGUGGGAAGGCCCAGACAGCCAGGAUGUUGGCUUAGAAGCAGCCAUCAUUUAAAGAAAGCGUAAUAGCUCACUGGUCGAGUCGGCCUGCGCGGAAGAUGUAACGGGGCUAAACCAUGCACCGAAGCUGCGGCAGCGACACUUAAGUGUUGUUGGGUAGGGGAGCGUUCUGUAAGCCGUUGAAGGUGUGCUGUGAGGCAUGCUGGAGGUAUCAGAAGUGCGAAUGCUGACAUAAGUAACGAUAAAGCGGGUGAAAAGCCCGCUCGCCGGAAGACCAAGGGUUCCUGUCCAACGUUAAUCGGGGCAGGGUGAGUCGACCCCUAAGGCGAGGCCGAAAGGCGUAGUCGAUGGGAAACGGGUUAAUAUUCCCGUACUUGGUGUUACUGCGAAGGGGGGACGGAGAAGGCUAUGUUGGCCGGGCGACGGUUGUCCCGGUUUAAGCGUGUAGGCUGGUUUUCCAGGCAAAUCCGGAAAAUCAAGGCUGAGGCGUGACGACGAGGCACCACGGUGCUGAAGCAACAAAUGCCCUGCUUCCAGGAAAAGCCUCUAAGCUCCAGGUAACACGAAAUCGUACCCCAAACCGACACAGGUGGUCAGGUAGAGAAUACCAAGGCGCUUGAGAGAACUCGGGUGAAGGAACUAGGCAAAAUGGUGCCGUAACUUCGGGAGAAGGCACGCUGACACGUAGGUGAAGUGAUUUACUCAUGGAGCUGAAGUCAGUCGAAGAUACCAGCUGGCUGCAACUGUUUAUUAAAAACACAGCACUGUGCAAACACGAAAGUGGACGUAUACGGUGUGACGCCUGCCCGGUGCCGGAAGGUUAAUUGAUGGGGUUAUCCGUAAGGAGAAGCUCCUGAUCGAAGCCCCGGUAAACGGCGGCCGUAACUAUAACGGUCCUAAGGUAGCGAAAUUCCUUGUCGGGUAAGUUCCGACCUGCACGAAUGGCGUAAUGAUGGCCAGGCUGUCUCCACCCGAGACUCAGUGAAAUUGAACUCGCUGUGAAGAUGCAGUGUACCCGCGGCAAGACGGAAAGACCCCGUGAACCUUUACUAUAGCUUGACACUGAACAUUGAGCCUUGAUGUGUAGGAUAGGUGGGAGGCUUUGAAGCGUGGACGCCAGUCUGCGUGGAGCCAACCUUGAAAUACCACCCUUUAAUGUUUGAUGUUCUAACGUGGACCCGUAAUCCGGGUUGCGGACAGUGUCUGGUGGGUAGUUUGACUGGGGCGGUCUCCUCCCAAAGAGUAACGGAG